rnacentral:lncRNA from 1 species
GUGUCUGUGUGUGUGUGUGUGUGUGUGCUCCUGCUCCUUGUUUGCCAUUCGCUUUGGUAAAUAAAAAGAGCUCAGCUCCUGCUCGGCAGGAGGAGGCAGUAGGGUGGAGGGCGAGGGAGGCCCCUGACGCAAGCAGUUCAACCAGCUGAGGCGGAAAGUACGCAUAAGCCCUGUCAGUGGCAUAGUUUCCGUGCUUCCUCCUCCACCUACGUUAAGCAUCUGGCUAGGGAUUAUUAUUUGCCAUAUUAUAAGAAAACGGUUUUAGUUCAAAUGUCAACAGCAUUUGUCAUGGGAGCAAUGCAAAAUGCACGGUCCGCGGUGAAACUGAAUGCAAAUUCUGAAUGUAAGAAUAAUGCGGUCGACAACGAUGGAUGGAUGGAUGAAUGGAUGGAUGGCUCCAAGCGCAGCUCUGGAGAGUCUAGACAGGGAGAUCUCCUAGCGGAGAUCCCUAAUUUACACCGCGGAUUAGCUUGAGUUUGUGCAGGCAAAUGAAUAGAAAUGGGAUUGAUUGAAUGCACAAACUUGCACAAGAAUUGGAGACAAAUUGAAUACAAUUUUGGAUAUACAGAAAUUCAAAGAAAUUCAAGCAAGAAACAUUCCUCUGGGAAGCACAAUGAACUACAAUUUUAAGUAAGGAUUAUCAAAAAUUCCCUAAAACUCGUGUCAAUUGUGAUUAAAUUCGUCUCAAACAGCUGGAGCGAUUCCUUUGCCAUUGUUGUUCUGAAACAAUUAUUAGACAUAGAAAAGUGGACAAGUCUCUGAAGUCUCUACGACUGAAAGCGGAAUCUCUUAGCUAUAUUACAUCAAAAUCUGCAGCCCAAAAAAGCUGUGUAAUGUCACUCGAUUGGUGAUUAUAGAAGAGAUUAAUUGGAAAUGCUGCGGCAAAUGGAGUUCAUUUACAUUUACAUAUAUCUGCCUGCAUAUCUUUGAUGUUUUCAAUUGAAUCCAAUGAAAUAUGACAGCCAUGGGAGCCCACAAUAUUUAGUGACAACAAGCCAUUGAGAAAUGCCAUAGAGUAAUGCCCAACCCCUACGCCUAAUCCUACCGCUGGCACUACCCC